rnacentral:tRNA from 1 species
UAAAAAUUAGUUAAUUCAUAACAUUGGCUUGUCAAGCUAAAGUAAUCCCACGAUAUUUUUAU